rnacentral:rRNA from 1 species
GACGAACGCUGGCGGCGUGCUUAACACAUGCAAGUCGAACGGAAAGGCCCUGCUUUUGUGGGGUGCUCGAGUGGCGAACGGGUGAGUAACACGUGAGUAACCUGCCCUUGACUUUGGGAUAACUUCAGGAAACUCGGGCUAAUACCGGAUAGGAGCUCCUGCUGCAUGGUGGGGGUUGGAAAGUUUCGGCGGUUGGGGAUGGACUCGCGGCUUAUCAGCUUGUUGGUGGGGUAGUGGCUUACCAAGGCUUUGACGGGUAGCCGGCCUGAGAGGGUGACCGGCCACAUUGGGACUGAGAUACGGCCCAGACUCCUACGGGAGGCAGCAGUGGGGAAUAUUGCACAAUGGGCGGAAGCCUGAUGCAGCAACGCCGCGUGCGGGAUGGCGGCCUUCGGGUUGUAAACCGCUUUCGCCGGUGACGAAGCGUGAGUGACGGUAAUGGGUAAAGAAGCACCGGCUAACUACGUG